GCCUACUUUUGAAAGCAAAAAUGUAGUAAAAAGUCCCAGUCAUUAUAGAAGGGGACAAACUACAACUUCAGCCCAGCCAAGUUGGAAGACCUCUUGUUCAAUAGAACGUUCUGGAUGAGGUGCCUCUAUCUGGAGGUUUUGUGCCCACUCCAGAGCCAGACCAGGAGAAAGUUAUAGGUGAUGUUCUUUGUACCACAGUAUAUCCUUGUUUGUUACUAGAUGAAUCAACUGCUGAUGACAAGUGCUGCUUGCUUCUUUGUAGGAUUUUCUCUGAGAUUUUCCUGUGUUCUUGCUACAGGUACAAAGGUAUGCUUCUCCUGUGCAAUUGCAUUUAAAGGUAUGCUGUAUCAUGGCACCAUAAUCCUACUGAUUCUCUAUUUGUCAGUAUAGUUUUUCAUGGAAAAGUAGCUAAGGAUACUACUUUGUUCAGAGAGCACAAGUCCAGAAAGCCUGAAGCAAAUACCAGAAGUAACCAGUGCCCAACAGAGAAACCAAAGAGACCCAGUCUGCUUGUAGGAAAGUCAUAUUUCAGCUCUUGUGUUUAUGAAUCUGCUGUUUCCACCACUGUACUUGGCACUGCUGCCUCCUAUUGUGAAUGCUGCUGCAAAUGCUAGGCACUCUCAGCACUAUGUGUUUUCCUUUACAGCAAGAUCUGCACAACACUUUUGCAGUCAGGUCUUCCCUGUGGAUCCUGCAGAGCUGCCUUAUGCUGGGGCUCAGACAAGUGACAAUAAAGAUGCCACCCAGGAGGUUUAUCAUGUGAUGUGAAAGCAGCAGGAUAAGAAAGGAAGGUCACCUUACUGCUAGAACAGAUUGUCCUGGGAGGAAUGGAGAGAGACAAAUGUGCAUAGUCAUCUUUUGAAGUGGAGAAUGGAUUAGAACAGGUCUGCAAGCCUGAUCUAACCAGCAAGGUGUUUCAUCCAGCAUGAUGCCUCAUCCUGGAGAGUACAAGCAGCAUCUUGGGAGAGUAUGUAUUACUUCUCACCUUUGGCAGACUGAACUCUGGGUGAGUUCAUGCUUGAUUUCCUGCUUCAGGGGUGGGCUUGUUGAUAUUACAUGCAGUCUCACCAUACCCCACUAGAGGGAUGACUGAAAGAACAUCAGUCGGUAUGUUUGAAAGCAGGAGCAGGACUUGCAAAAUAAAAGCCCUGCUGUAUGGCACAUCCCUUAUCAGCAAAGGGUGGGAAAUGAGAGGAAUCAAAGAAAAAUCAAAGUUGUGCCUUUUUUUUUUUCUUUUCAUUAUAAACAGCGGAGGUAAUUCCACACCAAGUCUGAUCUUUUGUUUUCCGUAGGAAGUAAGGAGGCAAGGCAGGUGAGCACGGGUUAGGCAUACUUGUUUGUAGUAAAGCAAAGAGGGAUAGGUGAUUCCAAUGCAUUGUCGGCAUCUCUCUCGGUUCUUACUCAUUUGCAGAUUGUCAGGCAGACAGGACCUUAACUGACUUUGAAUCUUGGGUGUGCCCAAGCACACAGCUGCAUUUCAAAAUGCACAGUGGCAGAAACCUGGCAUUCAAGCCCGUCCACUCUAUUACACUUACAGCUUGGCAAACACUGCUGUUACUGAUUCAGAGCUCACCAAAAGAGGUUCUGCUUUCUCAAGCCAUGGAAGUCCUCAAGAAAGGCCUAGCAAAUUGUAGAGUCCUGGCAGCAAGCUUACAUCCUAUGGUGUGUUUCUUAGCCAUUUGCAUGCUAUGUCCCACAGCUGUCAGGUGGCUGGUAAACAAGAAAUGACCCUCCUUAAUUUUGAAAGUAUGUCUCAGAAUUGUCUGUGGUGUGCUGGAGAGCUGCGGGUGGGCUUUCCUACUGCAUGCUGGUUGCAUCCUGUCACAUACUAUGCUUGCUGCUCAUGCCUGUACCUUCCACAGGAUGGAGCUGGUCUCUUGUG
rnacentral:lncRNA from 1 species